AUUUCCCUUGUAAUUCCAGGCCCCGGGCAAGUGCUGUUGGUGAGAGACUUUGGAGCAGCGAAAAUGUAACCGAUAUUUCAGAUGCUUCUAAAAGACUGACUCAACAUCGUUGUCGCAUGCUUAGGCGUGGAAUUGCAGCACAGCCUUUGUUUGUUGGAUCCUGCAACCAUGACUUCCUCUGAUUAGGGAUCGUAGCAAAAGUGCCUAUUCUUCAUUUUAAUGUGAGACAUAUGUAUCAAUGUGAACUAUAUAGGAAAAGAGAUAUGUACAACAGCAGAACGCUAUAAAACCUACUACAUAACCACUAGGACCAGAAAUAUACUAGUGCAUAUUUUGUAUAUAACAAUAUAACAGUUCAGGAAAAAGGCAGUUGUAGUCCUUCAGUGGAAUAACCGUUAACAGUCACGAAACCUCAAUUUUUCUGAAGAUGAAUUACAAUUUAUAUCUUAUAGUUUCUAUUGACAUAUAAACAGGCUGCAGCAGCAAUCUAUACUUUUGAUCAUUGUAAUUGCAACAUAAACUGUUUCCUAACAUAAGAUUAAAACAUAGGAUGUCAGUACUACUACAUGAGAUCAUGCCAAACCAGUCCUCUUAUUAAGCAAAGCAUUUUGCUCAAAAAGGCUCAUUGGGUGGUAGUUUGCCAAUUCCAGCGUAAAUGUAGCAGUCCCAGAUGUCAAGGAACGUAAAACUGUUGAGUAGCCCUGGGGGGGAAAAUGUAUAUUACAAAAGAUUAUAAGAUGAAGCUUUUUCAAAGACAUAAAAAUAAAUUUUACCUACAAUU